ACAAUGGAGAGUUUGAUCCUGGCUCAGGAUGAACGCUAGCGGCAGGCCUAACACAUGCAAGUCGAGGGGCAGCAUAG
rnacentral:rRNA from 1 species